rnacentral:rRNA from 1 species
AGAGUUUGAUCCUGGCUCAGAACGAACGCUGGCGGCGUGGCUAAGACAUGCAAGUCGAACGGACUAUACAAUUGAGUAAUCGAGCGUAUAGUUAGUGGCGAAAGGGUUAGUAAUGGCUAGGUAACGUACCCCCUGCUUUGGGAUAGCUAUUCGAAAGGAUAGGUAAUACCAAAUAAUAUCAUGUACUUAAUGUAUAUGAUCAAAGAUUUAUCGGGAGGGGAGCGGCCUAGUUCCCAUCAGCUUGUUGGUGAGGUAAUGGCUCACCAAGGCAUCGACGGGUAGCGGGACUGAGAGGUUGGCCCGCAACAUUGGGACUGAGACACUGCCCAGACCCCCACGGGGGGCUGCAGUAACGAAUAUUGUGCAAUGGGCGAAAGCCUGACACAGCGACGCCGCGUGUAGGAGGAAGUCCUUCGGGAUGUAAACUACUGUCAGGGUAAAGAAAGUCUGUUUCGGCAGAUUGAUCUACCCCAGAGGAAGUCACGGCUAACUUCGUGCCAGCAGCCGCGGUAAGACG